ACAAGCGGUGGAUGAUGUGGUUUAAUUCGAUGCAACGCGAAAACCUUACCCACCUUUGACAUGUACGGAAUCCUCUAGAGAUAGAGGAGUCGCUCGAAAGAGAGCCGUAACACAGGUGCUGCAUGGCUGUCGUCAGCUCGUGUCGUGAGAUGUUGGGUUAAGUCCCGCAACGAGCGCAACCCUUGUCAUUAGUUGCUACAGUUCAGUUGGGCACUCUAAUGAGACUGCCGGUGACAAACCGGAGGAAGGUGGGGAUGACGUCAAGUCCUCAUGGCCCUUAUAGGUGGGGCUACACACGUCAUACAAUGGAUGGUACAAAGGGUCGCCAACCCGCGAGGGGGAGCCAAUCCCAUAAAGCCAUUCGUAGUCCGGAUCGCAGUCUGCAACUCGACUGCGUGAAGUCGGAAUCGCUAGUAAUCGUGGAUCAGAAUGUCACGGUGAAUACGUUCCCGGGUCUU
rnacentral:rRNA from 1 species